CAUUAAGAAGCUAGAGCAGCAUUAACCUUUUAAGUUAAAGACGAGGAUUUAUACCCCUCCUUAAUGA
rnacentral:tRNA from 1 species